rnacentral:rRNA from 1 species
UACAGAGGUCUCAAGCGUUGUCCGGAAUCAUUGGGCGUAAAGCGCGUGUAGGCGGUUCGAUUAGUCUGCUGUGAAAGUCGGGGGCUCAACCCUCGAAUGCCGGUGGAUACUGUCGGGCUAGAGUGCGGAAGAGGCGAGUGGAAUUCCUGGUGUAGCGGUGAAAUGCGCAGAUAUCAGGAGGAACACCAAUGGCGAAGGCAGCUCGCUGGGACGGUACUGACGCUGAGACGCGAAAGCGUGGGGAGCAAACAGG